GAAAGCCGUAUACAUGGAGACAUGUAAGUACGGUUUGGGGGCGAGUACUCGGAAACCGCCCACCGCAAGGUGGGUAUGGCGCUGGGUGCUUAGCCCAC
rfam:Bacteroides uniformis CAG:3 genomic scaffold, scf63